CGUACACUCCUGCGGGAGGCAGCAGUGGGGAAUAUUGGACAAUGGGCGCAAGCCUGAUCCAGCCAUGCCGCGUGAGUGAUGAAGGCCCUAGGGUUGUAAAGCUCUUUCACCGGUGAAGAUAAUGACGGUAACCGGAGAAGAAGCCCCGGCUAACCUCGUGCCAGCAGCCGAGGUAAUACGAAGGGGGCUAGCGUUGUUCGGAUUUACUGGGCGUAAAGCGCACGUAGGCGGACUAUUAAGUCAGGGGUGAAAUCCCGGGGCUCAACCCCGGAACUGCCUUUGAUACUGGUAGUCUUGAGUUCGAGAGAGGUGAGUGGAAUUCCGAGUGUAGAGGUGAAAUUCGUAGAUAUUCGGAGGAACACCAGUGGCGAAGGCGGCUCACUGGCUCGAUACUGACGCUGAGGUGCGAAAGCGUGGGGAGCAAACAGGAUUAGAUACCCCGGUAGUCCC
rnacentral:rRNA from 1 species